rnacentral:rRNA from 1 species
UACAGAGGUGGCAAGCGUUGUUCGGAAUUACUGGCGUAAGGGCGCGUAGCCGGUCUUGUCAGUCCCUUGUGAAAUCCCCGGCUCAACUGGGAACUGCACGGAACAGCAGGCUUGAGUUCGGAGAGGAAGCGGAAUUCCGGUGUAGCGGUGAAUGCGCAGAAUAUCAGGAGGACACCAGCGGCGAAGCGCGCUCUGGCCGGAGCUGACGCUGAGAGCGAAGCGUGGAGC